AAGAAUGAAUGUUUAGAUAAGAAUUACACCUCAUGCAUCAUGGUGGCUUAAUUUUCCUCCACAAUUAUAAGUGAAAACGUGGGCUUUAGUGAAAGUAAAAAUGUGGCCUUUCAAUUCACCAUAUAGAGGUAGAGUGGAACCACUAUAAAUAGGACACUAACCCUUCCUAUUUUGCACACAACCAUCACUUUCGGCAACCUGCUUACUGAAGGUAUCCUAGAUGAAGGUGAUUGCUCGAGUUAUUUUGGAAAGCUUCAAGUUAGUGCAGGAUACUAAGACCUCCAGUUGAAGUUCAUUGAGGAAAGGAAAAUGGCAUUGUGAGAGACAUUAAAAUAAAGAACGUUAGUGCUGAUUGGUGGUCUAGUUUUAUUUUUGGAGUCCGAAGAGAAGAUCUCUUUGAUAUGUAUUGAUGAUGUCAUUGGACUGAAUGACAGGCAUCUGUGGUGUUUGACCAGCUCGUGAUUAUUUGUGGGUUAGAGUCUUUUGUAGGAAUUUAUCUUUUUAUCAUUUUAAAUUGAAAAAUUGUACGAUACUUAUGUGAAUUGGAAAUGUUUUAUAUUUGAAAA